GGGAAUUUUCCGCAAUGGGCGAAAGCCUGACGGAGCAAUACCGCGUGAGGGAAGAAGGCUCUUGGGUUGUAAACCUCUUUUCUUAGGGAAGAAAAAAAUGACGGUACCUAAGGAAUAAGCAUCGGCUAACUCCGUGCCAGCAGCCGCGGUAAUACGGAGGAUGCAAGCGUUAUCCGGAAUGAUUGGGCGUAAAGCGUCCGCAGGUGGUUUAUCAAGUUUGCGGUUAAAGGUUCUGGCUCAACCAGAGACAGGCCGUGAAAACUGAUAGACUAGAGUAUGGUAGGGGCAGAGGGAAUUCCCAGUGUAGCGGUGAAAUGCGUAGAGAUUGGGAAGAACACCGGUGGCGAAAGCGCUCUGCUAGGCCAAAACUGACACUGAGGGACGAAAGCUAGGGGAGCGAAUGGGAUUAGAUAC
rnacentral:rRNA from 1 species